AUAAUAUUUCAAAGGUAAAAUGUACGUUAUUAUUCAAUUAAGAAUACAAAAGAACGUAGUACAUUUUCGGUCUCAUACUAACAAUCUCAGUAAUAUUUACUAAAGCCUCUUCCAAAAUAAAUAAUAUAUGCCGUAAAAUCUAAUACAUUCCAAAUCAGACCUGGUUAAUACGAUAGAUGCCUGUUGCCAUGUUUCCUUAUCGCAUAGAUAAUGGGAAAAAAAUUGUAAGAUAAGAAUUUAAAAAAAGGAUUUUUUCUUGGAAUAUCAAUUUUAACAUCUCUGUGAAGACGCUUUACACAGUUAGCAACAUCAGGUCGCAGAUAAAGUAUAAUACUUUAUAUUUAUACAGUUGGACUACUGGAGGGUUAACACCAUCUUCGGUUUAUUAAUUAAUGUAAGCAUAAUAUUAAUUCUCAAGGAUCCUACAAUCUUCAAUAGGCAAAAACGGAUCUACUUAGAAGGAUAUUUAUCUUAGAAGGAUUGCCUAUAAAGCGUUAGCUAAAUAGAAAGUUUCUAAAAUGGAGGGAAUUCAAGAAGCUCCGAUCGCAAAUAACAAAAAUUAUACUAAGAAUUUAAAAAGUCAUUAUGUCCCAGACAAGACCACAAAAAAAUUGUUCAUUGAAUCUGUAACUAUUGAACUUAAUAACAGGGAAUGUUUAGUGGAGGAAAAGUCGUAUUUUACGGCUGCGAGAUGGGGGACCACUAUAAUUAAUUUAAUUUUUGAUAUUUGCUCAAACUGUCCUCUAAUUAUAUAUAUCGUAAUUUUAAUGUGGAUGUUUUAUUUGGGCAUGAAAUGAAAUUGUGGCCUAUAUCCUCGAGGAACAAGUAGAAUAAAAUCUAACCUGCUCUCGACCAUUUUAUUUUUAACAAAAUAUUAUUAAUGUUUGAAAUAUAUGCCAUGCAAGAUUAUUGAUAUUAAUAUUACAUACAAAUAUUUACUAUGAAACGGAUCUGAUUUAUACCUAUCUGCUGGAAGAGCAAAUUGAAAUGGAUUUUCUCAAUUUUAUACCGUUGUUAUUUUUGCUUGACAGAAAUUUUUUUUACAAUUCUAUGUUAUUGUAUAGUUAUUGUAUUCGUUUCAAGUGUGGUGUAAAUCAGAUUUUUGGCGCAUAUAAAUUAGUUAGUAUUUACAUAAACAUGUGUAAAUUAACUUGUGAAAAUCUAUAUUUUUAUAAAAUGUAACCAUUUCAUCUAGAAUAAUGUAUUCAAUCACAGACAAGUAACAAUAAUUUAGUUUACGUGGAUUUUACUUGUCAUUUAUGUUGCUGUAUUUUAAUGUUUUACAUUGAAAUAUAUAGCCGUUUAGCUUUA